rnacentral:rRNA from 2 species
UUCGGUGGUCAUAGCGUGAGGGAAACGCCCGGUUACAUUCCGAACCCGGAAGCUAAGCCUCACAGCGCCGAUGGUACUGCAGGGG